GGCUAACUAAACUCUCUACAAAUUCCCCGCAAAAAAAAAUCUCUACAAAUUCCGCAGCAACAACAAAAGAACUCUGUAUGGAAGAAAAUUUAUGAUUCCAAAGUUAGGUUUUGACUAGUCAUACUAAUACUGAUCAACUGAAAUGGGCUGGCCAGAAAUAAGCAGAAAAAAAAUGGUUUACUAUUCCUUUUUCCAGGUGACUUGCUGAUAAGUAUGCCACGGGUUGAGUUGAUCAUCUGGAUCGAGAGAAGAACAACAGCAGGCAGUUCUAGCUAGGCAUGGCGAUCAUCCUGCUGCUCUUGCUCAGCUGCCUCACGCCGUUCCAGGAGGCGGCAGCCGAUGCGUUCUGCGACAACGUUAAGGUCCUCGCCGCCACCCUCCCCAACAAAACCUCCUCCUCCCCGGUACACUUCGCCACCACCACCGUCGGCCAAGCCCCUGACAUCGUCUACGCGCUCGCGCUCUGCCGUGGUGACAUUCUCAACGACACUGCCUGCUCCCAGAGCGUCGCCAACACGUUCGGCAUAGUGCGGAACGCCACGCCACCGGACAUGGAGUGCUACGGGGGAACCCGCUAUUAUGCCGAGUAUAGUAUCCUCCUCUACAACUUCAACGACAUCCUUGCUCCCUCAAUAUACACCAAUAGUACGGGAGAUGAAAACGGUGGCGACCCUCCCUUUGAGAGGUGGAACGUCAAGAACGUCACCGGCGACGUGCCCCUCGUCGCCGGCCUCAUCCGCGAGCUGCUGGUGGAGACCGUGGAGAAGGCAGCCAGCGCGACGCCGAGGCGGUUCGCCACGGGCGUCAUGGACAGCGGCACCACCUUCCCAAAGGUGUACUCGUUGGCGCAGUGCACGCCGGACUUGUCAACCGGGGACUGCCUGGCAUGCCUGAAUCAUCUCCUCGGCUUGAUCAACUCCACCAUGUCCCUGCGCAUGGGAGGACAGAUGGGCGUCAUACGGUGCUACUUCAGGUAUGAGGCGUCUCCGUUCUACCAAGGCCAGCCUAUGAUAAGCCUCGGGCCGCCGGCUCCGACUCCAGGCGAACACAAAAGGCGCAUGAGCAAGCUGUGGAUAAUUGCCAUAGUUUUAGUACCUGUAGCGGCAGCAGCAUUUCUCUUUUUCAUCCUAUACUCUCGUCGUCUCACAAAGCAAAGAAAAGGUACACUGCUGAGAUUACAAGGAUCAAGACGUUCUCAAGAUUUGGAAGGAGAGGAAGAACUAGUUUGGCAAGGGGGGAAUUCAGAGUUCAUGGUGUUUGAUUUUGAACAGCUACUAGAGGCCACAAAUAAUUUUUCAGAAGAAAACAAACUUGGACAAGGUGGCUUUGGCCCUGUCUACAAGGGCAAGCUUACUGAUGGACUAGAGAUAGCAGUUAAGCGACUUGCUUCACAUUCUGGUCAAGGUUUCACAGAGUUCAAAAAUGAAGUCCAGCUCAUAGCCAAACUCCAGCACAGCAAUUUGGUUAGGCUUUUGGGAUGUUGCUAUCAAGACGAGGAGAAAAUAUUGGUGUAUGAAUACUUGCCAAACAAAAGCCCCAUGAGUACAGCUGUAUUCCCUAGGUAACUGGCCUGUACAGAAUAUGAUCAUUUACCUUGUCUAUUCCCCCUGUUAUACUAAUAUCUAAUUGAUGUGCAGAUGAAAAAAGAAGAGAAUUACUGGAAUGGUCGAAACUUGUUGCGAUAAUCGAAGGAAUAGCACAUGGACUGCUUUACCUACAUAAGCACUCCCGGUUGCGUGUCAUACAUCGAGAUCUGAAACCUAGCAACAUUCUGUUGGACAGUGAAAUGAAUCCAAAAAUUUCAGAUUUUGGGCUAGCAAAAAUAUUUAGCUCAAACACCGAAGGAAACACAACAACAAGAGUGGUUGGUACAUAUGGCUACAUGGCCCCUGAGUAUGCUUCACAGGGUGUCUUCUCUAUCAAGUCCGACGUCUUCAGCUUUGGUGUUAUUAUCUUUGAGAUCCUUAGUGGAAAACGGAAUUCUGGAAACCAACAAUAUGGAGAUUUCAUCAAUCUUCUUGGAUAUGCAUGGCAGUUAUGGGAUGAGGGAAGGUGGAUUGAUCUCGUUAGUUCAUCAUCGUUUUCCAAAAGUCACUCGACAAAGAUGAUGAGGUGCAUUAACAUAGCACUAUUGUGCGUACAAGAGAAUGCAGCCGAUCGACCAACUAUGGCUGAUGUUAUAGCUAUGCUAAGCAAUGAGGCUAUGAUCAUCGAUGAGCCUAAGCAGCCAGCAUAUUUCAAUGUGAGGGUAGGAAAUGAAGAGACAUCGACUGCUACAGAGUCAUGUAGUAUUAAUGAUAUGACCAUAUCAGCCACACUUCCUAGAUAAUAUUUUGUUCGUGUUACAUGGUUUAUAUGUCGCAGUCUAUAUUGAUGAUACUACAACUCUUGUACAAUUUAUAAGUUUAAGCCACCCUUCCUAAUUGGUGUAUAGUCCUUCAUUAUAUUUUUGCAUAUUUUUACCUAGAUUAAUUGUUUGUUUAUGAUAUGGGAAAUGAUUCUGACCACUCCGUCGAUCUAGGUGCGGGUGUCCGCC
rnacentral:rRNA from 1 species